CCUACGGGAGGCAGCAGUCGAGAAUCAUUCACAAUGGGGGAAACCCUGAUGGUGCGACGCCGCGUGGGGGAAUGAAGGUCUUCGGAUUGUAAACCUCUGUCAUGUGGGAGCAAAUUAAAAAGAUAGUACCACAAGAGGAAGUGACGGCUAACUCUGCGCCAGCAGACGCGGUAAUACAGCGGUCUGAAGCGUUGUGCGGAAUCACUGGGUGUAAAGUGUGCGGAGGGUGUUUCGUAAGUGGUGUGUGAAAGGCGCGGGCUCAACCCGCGGACGGCGCAUGAUACUGGGAGACUUGAGUGAGGGAGAGGGAAGCGGAAUGCGUGGUGUAGCGGUGAAAUGCAUAGAUAUCGAGAAGAACACUGAUGGCGAAGGCGGCUUCCUGGACAUUAACUGACGCUGAGGCACGAAGGCGAGGGGAGCGAAAAGGAUUAGAUACCCGAGUAGUC
rnacentral:rRNA from 1 species